AAAAACAAAUAUGUAACACAUCAACAAACGACAACCACUGAAUUACAGGCUCCGGACUUGGGACAGGCACAUACAUACAUAAUGUGGCGGGGUUAAACAAGUAAACCGGAUCCCAACCCUAACUUGAGACAUAUAGAUUCUUACACUGCAACAAGUGUAUUACGAUAUUUCUCCACUCGAGACAGUUAAAUUUUAUUAUUUAAAGCGCGAGGCUUGCCGAGCCCUUUAAAUAAUAAAAUUUAACUGUCGAGAGUGGAGAAAUAUCGUAAUACACGAGUUAUAGUGUCGGAAUCUGUUUCUCUAAUGCUUUUUAUCGUUCUUUUUCAAAGAUUUUCAGAAAAUUGUGCUCUUUAUAUGCGACGUCAUCAGGCAAGGUCGCCUUUUUUCAUGACGUCACAAUAGGAAAAUUGAGAAGAAAACAAAACAUUUUGACGUCAUAAUCAAAUUUCGACUAAUCAUUUGCCGAGAACAGAUUUUUCACUAGUGAGGAGAAAUAUUUUUCUCACACCGGUCAGGAAAUGUGAAAAUAGCAUAAAAAUUAGAGAAAGUGGUAU
rnacentral:lncRNA from 1 species